rnacentral:rRNA from 1 species
AUUUUGGGAAUUAGAUACCCCACUAUGCUUAGCCCUAAACCUAAAUAAUCAAUAUAACAAGAUUAUUCGCCAGAGUACUACUAGCAACAGCCUAAAACUCAAAGGACUUGGCGGUGCUUUAUAUCCUUCUAGAGGAGCCUGUCCUGUAAUCGAUAAACCCCGAUAAACCUCACCAGCUCUUGCUAAUUCAGCCUAUAUACCGCCAUCCUCAGCAAACCCUAAAAAGGAGCCAUAGUAAGCAUAAGCAUAAGACAUAAAAACGUUAGGUCAAGGUGUAGCCCAUGAGCUGGGAAGAGAUGGGCUACAUUUUCUUGCUAAAGAACAAUCAACUAAUCACACGAAGCCCCUCAUGAAAAAGAGGACUGAAGGUGGAUUUAGUAGUAAACUAAGAAUAGAGAGCUUGGUUGAAUUAGGCCAUGAAGCACGCACACACCGCCCGAUCACCCUA